UGUAGGCUUGUCACCAUAGAGAUAAGACGAAUUCAAGGAUUUAAGACUUACCAGAAAAUAUUAUGUACCAUGUUUGUGAUAAAGCUUUGCUUGCUUAAAACAGCAGUGGAAGCUGACAUUGUAAACCAGCAUCUAACAAAGGAAGACUGACAGAAACAAAGAAAGGAUUCACAUUCUUUACAUAAAAGCUAUCUGUUUGUAACAAAGAAGGGUGUAAGUAAUGAAGCUGGCAGACCUCUUUAACAGCUGUAGUUACCGUGUAUUUCAGUGACUCAGUCAUUGUGAAAAAACUCAGAUUAAAAUGGAAGAGGAAAACACACUGUAAAGCCCAGGAGCCCUAAAAAAGACCAACUGAACUGCUGUAUGAUACCGCAUUAUCCAAGUCAGUCUAAUAGGGAGACCGUGGGAAUGGAUGGACCUCAUGCUGGAUGCCUACAUGGAUGUGGGGGUUCCAGGCCCUUUUGGGAAGUGCAGUGCUGCAAAGGAUUUAGUACAUCACUGAAGUCAAACAUGGCUACGAAUCAGAUUCACUGCAUGUGACAGAAGAUGAGUAAGCUAAGCUCUGUUUCGGUGCUCUUGGAUGAGGUGACAUCACUUAUAUACUAUCUGAACCAUCUGAAACGUCUCUAAUAAUGAUAAAAGCAUUUUAGGCUGGAAAAGAUCCUGAAGAUCAUUGGGUCCAGUCAUCCACCUAACUACCAAGUCCAGCACUUAACAGAAGGUAAAUUUCUAUGUCCAUUUAGAUACAGACUGAUUUGCAUGUAAUUGCCACUGAUGCGGUGGGAUGCACUGGGUUAAGACCAGGUUAGAAACUUGACAAAAUGUGUGGCAAAUUGUUUGGACUAUAGCAAAAGGUGUAAGCUGUUGGGAGCUUUGCCCAUGUUUCAUCUGCAACAGGCUGAGGUUCUCCAUCCUCUAACCUGUACUACAAGUUAUCUGUCCCAAUAAAUGAACAUUUUGAUUUCCUGAAAAAAAAAAAAGCCAGUAACAAUGAAUCCCGUUUCAGCUGAAGAAUUGAGUAAUUUCCCCAAAAUCUUGAAAGCAGAAACUUAUCAACACAACGCCUUGCCAUGUCCACAAUUUGAAAGGCUCCUGCCUGAUCUGGCAAAGCUGAUGAUUUCAGAGGAGCUCUAUUGCUUGGAGUAGCUCCAUUUUGAAGCAUCCACUUUGAGGUACAGUAAGCCUCAUCCUAUGAGCACACAGUGAUCAUGGAUCAAGCUGAAGUCACAGCGAGGAGAAAAUGGCCGUCAGUUUCAAAAACUCAGGUGUGAACAACUCGAACAGAUGUUUCUAAAACAUCAUUCUGAAAAUCUGGAACUCUUUGCACAGGAGAACUGAAUGGUCACCACGCAGGACAUGAAGUUAUUCCCACUCAAUCCAGACAGAAUCUCACAGUGAUGCAAAUUUAUUUGUUAAGGCUGGGUGCUCAUCCAAGUUGGGUCAGCAUCAGUUUGCACAAUAUAGGGAUCUACUACUUGACCAUUAGGCAUUGCCUCUUUCCACUCUGACACAGUUUCUUCCUGGGAGAACAAGGGGAUUUACUAUCUCGGGAUUUCUGAGGACUGGAGCUGGCUGAGCAUUCCUCAUGGCCCUGAGUUAUAUGGGAAUUUAGCAAGCCUCUCUUCUCAGGCAGCAGAUCCCUCAUCUCAAGAAAUCUCUUGAUUAAACUGUCAAGCUCUGCGACGGGCAGCUGAAGGGAG
ensembl:lncRNA